CCUACGGGGGGGCAGCAGUGAGGAAGAUUGGGCAAUGGAAGCAAGGAUGAACCAGCCAUGCAGAGUGCAGGAAGAAGGCUCGAUGAGUUGGAAACUGCUUUUGGACGAGGGGAAACGCAGAGACGCGUAUCUGUCUGAAAGUAGCGGACGAAGAAGGAGCGGCUAACUCCGUGCCAGCAGCCGCGGUAAUACGGAGGAUUCAAGCGUUAUCCGGAUUUAUUGGGUUUCAAGGGUGCGUAGGCGGUCGGAUCAGUUAGAGGUGAAAUCCCGAGGCUCAACUUCGGAAUUGCCUCUGAUACUGUUCGGCUAGUGCGUCGUUGCGGUCGGCGGAAUGUCUGGUGUAGC
rnacentral:rRNA from 1 species